rnacentral:rRNA from 1 species
UACAGGGGGUGCAAACGUUGCUCGGAAUCAUUGGGCGUAAAGCGCACGUAGGCGGUCUGUUAUGUCGGAUGUGAAAGCCCUUGGCUCAACUGAGGAAGUGCAUCCGAAACUGGCAGGCUAGAGUACUAAAGAGGGUCGCGGAAUUCCCGGUGUAGCAGUGAAAUGCGUAGAGAUCGGGAGGAACAUCUGUGGCGAAGGCGACUGCCUGGACCAGCACUGACACUGAGGCACGAAAGCGUGGGGAGCAAACAGG